UACGGAGGGUGCGAGCGUUAUCCGGAAUCACUGGGCGUAAAGGGCGCGUAGGCGGUCUGUUGAGUCCGUUGUCAAAUGCCGAGGCUCAACCUCGGAACGGCAGUGGGUACUGGCAGGCUGGACGGCUGGAGAGGCGAGUGGAAUUACCAGUGUAGCGGUGGAAUGCGUAGAUACUGGUAGGAACACCCAUGGCGAAGGCAGCUCGCUGGACAGCUCGUGACGCUGAGGCGCGAAAGUGUGGGGAGCGAACCGGAUUAGAUACCCCCGUAGUCC
rnacentral:rRNA from 1 species